rnacentral:rRNA from 1 species
GGUUAAGCGACUAAGCGUACACGGUGGAUGCCCUGGCAGUCAGAGGCGAUGAAGGACGUGCUAAUCUGCGAAAAGCGUCGGUAAGGUGAUAUGAACCGUUACAGCCGGCGAUGUCCGAAUGGGGAAACCCAGUGCAAUUCGUUGCACUAUCGUUAACUGAAUACAUAGGUUAACGAGGCGAACCGGGGGAACUGAAACAUCUAAGUACCCCGAGGAAAAGAAAUCAACCGAGAUUCCCCCAGUAGCGGCGAGCGAACGGGGAGCAGCCCAGAGUCUGAAUCAGCUUGUGUGUUAGUGGAACGGUCUGGAAAGUCCGACGGUACAGGGUGAUAGUCCCGUACACCAAAAUGCACAGGCUGUGAACUCGAAGAGUAGGGCGGGACACGUGGUAUCCUGUCUGAAUAUGGGGGGACCAUCCUCCAAGGCUAAAUACUCCUGACUGACCGAUAGUGAACCAGUACCGUGAGGGAAAGGCGAAAAGAACCCCGGCGAGGGGAGUGAAAAAGAACCUGAAACCGUGUACGUACAAGCAGUGGGAGCACCUUUAUGGUGUGACUGCGUACCUUUUGUAUAAUGGGUCAGCGACUUAUAUUCUGUAGCAAGGUUAACCGUAUAGGGGAGCCGCAGGGAAACCGAGUCUUAACUGGGCGUUAAGUUGCAGGGUAUAGACCCGAAACCCGGUGAUCUAGCCAUGGGCAGGUUGAAGGUUGGGUAACACUAACUGGAGGACCGAACCGACUAAUGUUGAAAAAUUAGCGGAUGACUUGUGGCUGGGGGUGAAAGGCCAAUCAAACCGGGAGAUAGCUGGUUCUCCCCGAAAGCUAUUUAGGUAGCGCCUCGUGAACUCAUCUUCGGGGGUAGAGCACUGUUUCGGCUAGGGGGUCAUCCCGACUUACCAACCCGAUGCAAACUACGAAUACCGAAGAAUGUUAUCACGGGAGACACACGGCGGGUGCUAACGUCCGUCGUGAAGAGGGAAACAACCCAGACCGCCAGCUAAGGUCCCAAAGUCAUGGUUAAGUGGGAAACGAUGUGGGAAGGCACAGACAGCCAGGAUGUUGGCUUAGAAGCAGCCAUCAUUUAAAGAAAGCGUAAUAGCUCACUGGUCGAGUCGGCCUGCGCGGAAGAUGUAACGGGGCUAAACCAUGCACCGAAGCUGCGGCAGCGACACGAUGUGUUGUUGGGUAGGGGAGCGUUCUGUAAGCCUGCGAAGGUGGCCUGUGAGGGUUGCUGGAGGUAUCAGAAGUGCGAAUGCUGACAUAAGUAACGAUAAAGCGGGUGAAAAGCCCGCUCGCCGGAAGACCAAGGGUUCCUGUCCAACGUUAAUCGGGGCAGGGUGAGUCGACCCCUAAGGCGAGGCCGAAAGGCGUAGUCGAUGGGAAACAGGUUAAUAUUCCUGUACUUGGUGUUACUGCGAAGGGGGGACGGAGAAGGCUAUGUUAGCCGGGCGACGGUUGUCCCGGUUUAAGCAUGUAGGCUGGUUAUCCAGGCAAAUCCGGAUAAUCAAGGCUGAGGUGUGAUGACGAGGCACUACGGUGCUGAAGUAACAAAUGCCCUGCUUCCAGGAAAAGCCUCUAAGCAUCAGGUAACACGAAAUCGUACCCCAAACCGACACAGGUGGUCAGGUAGAGAAUACCAAGGCGCUUGAGAGAACUCGGGUGAAGGAACUAGGCAAAAUGGUGCCGUAACUUCGGGAGAAGGCACGCUGGUGUGUAGGUGAAGCCCCUGCGGGUGGAGCUGAGACCAGUCGAAGAUACCAGCUGGCUGCAACUGUUUAUUAAAAACACAGCACUGUGCAAACACGAAAGUGGACGUAUACGGUGUGACGCCUGCCCGGUGCCGGAAGGUUAAUUGAUGGGGUUAUCCGUAAGGAGAAGCUCUUGAUCGAAGCCCCGGUAAACGGCGGCCGUAACUAUAACGGUCCUAAGGUAGCGAAAUUCCUUGUCGGGUAAGUUCCGACCUGCACGAAUGGCGUAAUGAUGGCCAGGCUGUCUCCACCCGAGACUCAGUGAAAUUGAACUCGCUGUGAAGAUGCAGUGUACCCGCGGCAAGACGGAAAGACCCCGUGAACCUUUACUAUAGCUUGACACUGAACAUUGAGCCUUGAUGUGUAGGAUAGGUGGGAGGCUUUGAAGCGUGGACGCCAGUCUGCGUGGAGCCAACCUUGAAAUACCACCCUUUAAUGUUUGAUGUUCUAACGUUGGCCCCUUAUCGGGGUUGCGGACAGUGUCUGGUGGGUAGUUUGACUGGGGCGGUCUCCUCCCAAAGCGUAACGGAGGAGCACGAAGGUUAGCUAAUCCUGGUCGGACAUCAGGAGGUUAGUGCAAUGGCAUAAGCUAGCUUGACUGCGAGCGUGACGGCGCGAGCAGGUGCGAAAGCAGGUCAUAGUGAUCCGGUGGUUCUGAAUGGAAGGGCCAUCGCUCAACGGAUAAAAGGUACUCCGGGGAUAACAGGCUGAUACCGCCCAAGAGUUCAUAUCGACGGCGGUGUUUGGCACCUCGAUGUCGGCUCAUCACAUCCUGGGGCUGAAGUAGGUCCCAAGGGUAUGGCUGUUCGCCAUUUAAAGUGGUACGCGAGCUGGGUUUAGAACGUCGUGAGACAGUUCGGUCCCUAUCUGCCGUGGGCGCUGGAGAAUUGAGGGGGGCUGCUCCUAGUACGAGAGGACCGGAGUGGACGCAUCACUGGUGUUCGGGUUGUCAUGCCAAUGGCACUGCCCGGUAGCUAAAUGCGGAAGAGAUAAGUGCUGAAAGCAUCUAAGCACGAAACUUGCCCCGAGAUGAGUUCUCCCUGAGACUUUAAGUCUCCUGAAGGAACGUUGAAGACGACGACGUUGAUAGGCCGGGUGUGUAAGCGCAGCGAUGCGUUGAGCUAACCGGUACUAAUGAACCGUGAGGCUUAACCUU